rnacentral:rRNA from 1 species
GACAGAGGGCGCAAACGUUGUUCGGAAUUACUGGGCGUAAAGCGUGCGCAGGCGGCUUUGCAAGACAGAUGUGAAAUCCCCGGGCUUAACCUGGGAACUGCAUUUGUGACUGCAUGGCUGGAGUGCGGCAGAGGGGGAUGGAAUUCCGCGUGUAGCAGUGAAAUGCGUAGAUAUCAGGAAGAACACCCGUGGCGAAGGCGGCUCUCUGGGACGGUACUGACGCUGAGACGCGAAAGCGUGGGGAGCGAACAGG